AUGUCGUUGAAGUGGCGGUACUCGGGGUCGUCGGCGCAGACGGCGAUGAUCUUGUCGUCGGCCUCGCCCUGGUCGAUCAUGGGCAUGAGGCCGAUGGCCUUGGCCCGGAGGAAGCACCCGGGGACGACGGGCUCCUGCAUGAUGACGAGGACGUCGAUGGGGUCGGAGUCGUCGCAGAGGGUGCGCGGGAUGAAGCCGUAG
rnacentral:rRNA from 1 species